rnacentral:rRNA from 1 species
AUUGAACGCUGGCGGCAGGCUUAACACAUGCAAGUCGAGCGGAGAGAAGUAGCUUGCUACUGAUCUUAGCGGCGGACGGGUGAGUAAUGCUUAGGAAUCUGCCUGUUAGUGGGGGACAACAUUCCGAAAGGGAUGCUAAUACCGCAUACGCCCUACGGGGGAAAGCAGGGGAUCUUCGGACCUUGCGCUAAUAGAUGAGCCUAAGUCGGAUUAGCUAGUUGGUGGGGUAAAGGCCUACCAAGGCGACGAUCUGUAGCGGGUCUGAGAGGAUGAUCCGGCACACUGGGACUGAGACACGGCCAAGACGCCUACGGGAGGCAGCAGUGGGGAAUAUUGGACAAUGGGCGGAAGCCUGAUCCAGCCAUGCCGCGUGUGUGAAGAAGGCCUUUUGGUUGUAAAGCACUUUAAGCGAGGAGGAGGCUCUUAAGGUUAAUACCCUUGAUGAGUGGACGUUACUCGCAGAAUAAGCACCGGCUAACUCUGUGCCAGCCGCCGCCGUAACAC